rnacentral:rRNA from 1 species
AGCAGCCGCGGUAAUUCCAGCUACAAUAGCGUAUAUUAAAGUUGUUGCAGUUAAAAAGCUCGUAGUUGAAUUUCGGGAUCAAUAUGUUGGUCGUGCCUUUGGUACGUACUGGUAUUAUUGGUUUCUCCUUUCUGAUGAAUCAUGAUGUCAUUAAUUUGGUGUCAUGGGGAAUCAGGACUGUUACUUUGAAAAAUUAGAGUGUUUAAAGCAGGCUUACGCUUGAAUACAUUAGCAUGGAAUAAUGAAAUAGGACGUUUAAUUCUAUUUUGUUGGUUUCUAGGAUUGACGUAAUGAUUAAUAGGGAUAGUUGGGGGCAUUAGUAUUCAAUUGUCAGAGGUGAAAUUCUUGGAUUUAUUGAAGACUAACUACUGCGAAAGCAUUUGCCAAGGAUGUUUUCAUUAAUCAAGAACGAAAGUUAGGGGAUCGAAGACGAUCAGAUACCGUCGUAGU